GUGUGCACAUGAAAAUCACAGAUGAAAUGGUCCCCUGUCCUGUCUGUGGUUGGAUGAGAGACCACAC
rfam:Danio rerio chromosome 17, GRCz11 reference primary assembly.